AGAAAUACAUCGCUGGUACGGGUACGAAACCGACUCCUCAUGAAGGCUACUUAGGCUCUUCGUACCCUACUCCUACUCAAAACGUCCCCGGCGUACAGAACGGUAACAUGUUACUCCACAUAUCUGAGCUUGGGUACACGGGGAAACCCAACCCCUUGGGAAGAUGGAUGAUAUGGCUAAUUUGAGANNN
rfam:Anopheles farauti strain FAR1 unplaced genomic scaffold supercont2.7, whole genome shotgun sequence.